AAAGUAAAGAGAAAUUGGGAAGCUUCAGCUGAUGAAAUGAUAGCCACAAGCUCUUCUUUUAGAGGAUAAAGACAACACAAAAGACCAAUGUGAAGAUAGUCACAGCUUUUACAUUGAUAUUUGCCUCAGAGGAUGAAGUAGAAAGUUGUAAUGAAAAGCUUGACAGAAUCCUACAAGCCAAUACACAUUUUAACUGUUUUAUUUUAUACUGAUUCUGUUUAGAGAAUGAAUCUUUAAAGACUCUUUUCCAACAAGAAGUCACCUAUUCAUAUGUUAAGAUAAUGCAAGAUUCAUUGAGGAAUACAGCACAUAAACUACUCCAUUUAAUCAUUCUUUAAUUACUUUCAAAGGAAGCAUAAAACAAGAAGAUGAAUGCUUUUCAGAGUAUUUUCCACAAUCCUGAAUAGGCUUCAAAUGGAAUAAAAGUUGCCCAUUAAUAAUGAAAUGGAUACUUCUGUUGUUGCUUCUAGGGUAAAAGCACUCAUUGGAGUCACCCAGAUGCCAGAUGCCACCGUAACCUUGGCAACCAUCCCAGCCUGACUCUCUGGACAUGGCCUACAGUCAAUACCUCUCUCUCCUAACAAUAGGCAGGGACAACUCUACACCCAUUCUCAAUUCUGAAGAA
rnacentral:lncRNA from 1 species